GAUGAACGCUGGCGGCGUGCCUAAUACAUGCAAGUCGAGCGAACGGACGAGAAGCUUGCUUCUCUGAUGUUAGCGGCGGACGGGUGAGUAACACGUGGAUAACCUACCUAUAAGACUGGGAUAACUUCGGGAAACCGGAGCUAAUACCGGAUAAUAUUUUGAACCGCAUGGUUCAAAAGUGAAAGACGGUCUUGCUGUCACUUAUAGAUGGAUCCGCGCUGCAUUAGCUAGUUGGUAAGGUAACGGCUUACCAAGGCAACGAUGCAUAGCCGACCGGAGAGGGUGAUCGGCCACACUGGAACUGAGACACGGUCCAGACUCCUACGGGAGGCAGCAGUAGGGAAUCUUCCGCAAUGGGCGAAAGCCUGACGGAGCAACGCCGCGUGAGUGAUGAAGGUCUUCGGAUCGUAAAACUCUGUUAUUAGGGAAGAACAUAUGUGUAAGUAACUGUGCACAUCUUGACGGUACCUAAUCAGAAAGCCACGGCUAACUACGUG
rnacentral:rRNA from 1 species